rnacentral:rRNA from 1 species
GGCCUUGACAUACUAAGAACUUUCCAGAGAUGGAUUGGUGCCUUCGGGAACUUAGAUACAGGUGCUGCAUGGCUGUCGUCAGCUCGUGUCGUGAGAUGUUGGGUUAAGUCCCGCAACGAGCGCAACCUUUUCCUAUUUGCCAGCGGGUAAUGCCGGGAACUUUAAGGAUACUGCCAGUGACAAACUGGAGGAAGGCGGAGACGACGUCAAGUCAUCAUGGCCCUUACGGCCAGGGCUACACACGUGCUACAAUGGUCGGUACAAAGGGUUGCUACCUCGCGAGAGGAUGCUAAUCUCAAAAAAGCCGAUCGUAGUCCGGAUCGCAGUCUGCAACUCGACUGCGUGAAGUCGGAAUCGCUAGUAAUCGCGGAUCAGAAUGCCGCGGUGAAUACGUUCCCGGGCCUUGUACACACCGCCCGUCACACCAUGGGAGUUUGUUGCACCAGAAGUAGGUAGUCUAACCGCAAGGAGGACGCUUACCACGGUGUGGCCGAUGACUGGGGUGAAGUCGUAACAAGGUAGGCGUAGAUGA